CUCGUAGGCGGUUCGUCACGUCCGGUGUGAAAGUCCAUCGCUUAACGGUGGAUCCGCGCCGGGUACGGGCGGGCUUGAGUGCGGUAGGGGAGACUGGAAUUCCCGGUGUAACGGUGGAAUGUGUAGAUAUCGGGAAGAACACCAAUGGCGAAGGCAGGUCUCUGGGCCGUUACUGACGCUGAGGAGCGAAAGCGUGGGGAGCGAACA
rnacentral:rRNA from 1 species